rnacentral:lncRNA from 1 species
AGAGAUACAAGUAAUCAUAGCAGAUAAUACAUCCCCAUUAUGUGGAUAUAUAACUUCCAAUACAAAAUAAUCCCUUAAAAAGAACAUGAACAUAAGCAUAGAUACUCAAACAACAUGCCCCAAAAAUACAUCCUGUAAUAAGGAACAUCAAAUCCCUUGAGUUUGAACAGUUCAUCAACACAUAAAAUCCCUCUCUUCCAUUCAAUAAUUCAAAGUAAGUGUAUUAACAACAACAGCAGGAUCAGAGUGAGUGUAUUAACAAGGUUGUGUACGAGACAUAAAACAGCGGUCAUUUUUCAAUUUAUAGUCAACUAAAUGAAGAACUUAGCUUCUGUUUUGAAGGACUAUCAGGCUUAGCUUUGUGGGUUUGGACAAUAAAAUCUGGAGCUAGCAGGUUGUGUAUCCAUUCCUUCGAGUUUAGAGGGGUGCGUGCCCUGCUCCAUCAAACCAGAGAAGCAGCAGAUUCGACUCCGACGGGAGAGAUGAGAGAACCCCAUCACUAUUGCUAAGAACUGAAGCUUUCCGAUGGUGUUAUCCACUGAAACAUAUUGAGAAAAUUGCCAAUAAUUGAAUGGUGGCCUUAGCAAUUGCGGCUGUUGCUAUCAUCGUUGGAGCUAGUAAGUAAUUCUCGAGCACAUAAUCCCAAAGUACGCAGCAGCGUACUUUGGUGCAGAUAGCCCAAGCACUCUUGUGGCGUUCCCUCGUCAGCUUAGCAAAAGCCUCUCGUCACCAUUCCGAUAGAAAUUGAUGUAUUUCCGGCAAGCUGCAGGACCUUGACGACAGAAGAUCUCUUCGCUGGAAUCGCGUACCAGAGUAUCAAUGCACCAUGCCGAGCUUUAACCCCAAUCGUUAAUCUGGCUAACUGAAACGAACAAAAAUAUAGAAGUCAGAACUCCCCAGAAUUUCUGAGAAAUUGAAAUGAGGUCUGUGUGAGAAGAAUCGUAUGGCAUCGAUUGCUGUAACCGCUAAACGGCAUGUUCUCGGGCGACCCUCCCUUGCUUCAAAUCAGAGGAUAUUAUGUUCAUGAGCGAAGCUCCUGACACGGCAUGACGCGCGAUAUGUACGCGAUGAACCGGUGAUCGGCGGAAGCACGCGGGCGGUGGUGCACCAUUAGCCAGGAAUUCUCCCCUCCUCCCCAGACCCGAUCGAUAUCAAAACCGAUGACCCGCUAUAUCCCACUGGAGUAAGCGGUAAUCCAAGCAAAAAUGAGCUCCAUCAGUGAUUUGCUGGUGAACACAACAGAAAUGAGGAAAACACAGAGAAUCAUUAGGACUUGCUAUGGUUUGUUCGAAAUUGCUGAGAAAUAUGUAUUGAUUGAAGAAAAUCGGGGGUUUUCCCCUAUGCCCAUGGUCUGCAAGCCAUGAUUGCUCGUUGAAUCGAGAAAUUAGGGACCGCGCCGGUUAGGCGGGCAAGCAUGAUUGAGUCGCGUCUUCAAGGUGAGAAGAGCAGUGGGCGCUAGUGUGUCGUGAGUCGCGGUGACAGGUGGUGCGACCGGGCAAGUGGUGGCGAAAGGAUGGGCGGCGAUUCCCUGGCUGCGGAGAGUUUCUUCGCUGUUUGGCUGGAGGAAGGCAGCGAUUCGCUGGCUACGGAGGAGAGAGAGCGAUCUGGAUCUGGGAGAGAGAGAACGGCGGUAGGAUUCCCUUGCGACGGCGCUGGCCGAGAUUCAAGCUGGUGGUAGCCGAUCCAAUCUGGCUCUGGGAGAGAGAGACAGACCCAAGGAGAUGCUAAUACUCCGAUUUUGAAAAUCGAGAUCUGGAAUUUUUUCUCCUCUUACGGUGAACAGUAACCAUCGAUGAACAGUAACCCCAAUUUUCCAUUUUUU